CCAGACUCCUACGGGAGGCAGCAGUGAGGAAUAUUGGUCAAUGGUCGGGAGACUGAACCAGCCAAGCCGCGUGAGGGAUGAAGGUACAGAGUAUCGUAAACCUCUUUUGUCAGGGAACAAAGGCGGGGACGUGUCCCCGGAUGAGUGUACCUGAAGAAAAGGCAUCGGCUAACUCCGUGCCAGCAGCCGCGGUAAUACGGAGGAUGCGAGCGUUAUCCGGAUUUAUUGGGUUUAGAGGGUGCGUAGGCGGGGGCUUAAGUCAGCGGUAAAAUUGCGGGGCUCAACCUCGUCGAGCCGUUGAAACUGCAUCCCUUGAGUGCGCGAGAAGUAUGCGGAAUGCGUGGUGUAGCGGUGAAAUGCAUAGAUAUCACGCAGAACUCCGAUUGCGAAGGCAGCAUACCGGCGCGCAACUGACGCUCAUGCACGAAAGCGUGGGUAUCGAACAGGAUUAGAUACCCCCGUACGA
rnacentral:rRNA from 1 species